rnacentral:rRNA from 1 species
GACGAACCGUGCGAACGUUAUUCGGAAUCACUGGGCUUAAAGGGCGCGUAGGCGGGUCAUCAAGUCCGGGGUGAAAUCUUUCGGCUUAACCGGAAAAUUGCCUUGGAAACUGGUGGUCUUGAGGGAAGUAGGGGUCUGCGGAACUUCCGGUGGAGCGGUGAAAUGUGUUGAUAUCGGAAGGAACGCCGGUGGCGAAAGCGGCGGACUGGGCUUCUUCUGACGCUGAGGCACGAAAGCUAGGGGAGCAAACGGG